rnacentral:rRNA from 1 species
UACGGAGGGUGCGAGCGUUGUCCGGAAUCACUGGGCGUAAAGGGCGCGUAGGCGGCCUGAUAAGUAGGGGGUGAAAUCCUGCGGCUUAACCGCAGGGCUGCCUUCUAAACUGUCAGGCUAGAGCACAGUAGAGGCAGGUGGAAUUCCCGGUGUAGCGGUGGAAUGCGUAGAGAUCGGGAAGAACAUCAGUGGCGAAGGCGGCUGCUGGGCUGUUGCUGACGCUGAGGCGCGACAGCGUGGGGAGCAAACAGG